rnacentral:tRNA from 1 species
AGCCCCGUGGUGGACAUCACAUCAAAUUGCAAAUUUGAAGACGUUCCUUUUUGGUUCCAGGGCUU